UGGAAAAGGAUGUGGGAUUUCGAAGACAGCUAGGAUGUUGGCUUAGAAGCAGCCACACAUUCAAAGAGUGCGUAAUAGCUCACUAGUCGAGAGGUCUUGCGCCGAAAAUGUCCGGGGCUAAAACACAACACCGAAGCUUAGGAAUGUAGCAAUACAUUGGUAGAGGAGCAUUUUUAUAGGCGUAGAAGCUGUACCGAUAAGGAGCAGUGGAGUAAUAAAAAGAGAGAAUGCCGGAAUGAGUAGCGAGAUGAAGGUGAGAAUCCUUCAGGCCGAAUAUCUAAGGUUUCCAGAGUAAAGCUGAUCUGCUCUGGGUAAGUCGGGGCCUAAGGCAAGGUCGAAAGACGUAGUCGAUGGACAACAGGUUUAGAUUCCUGUACCGCUUAUUAUCAGAAAUGUGGGGACACAGAGACGUAUCCAAACCCAGGAAUGCAAAGACUGGGGCAAGCCAAGUACUGGUAUGGCAGGAAAAUCCGCCAUGCAACAGGAAUAGGUGAUGCGGACCGAAAUCAAGUAGGGAAGUUGGAGAAGGAGCUGUCAAGAAAAGCCGCUAUUGUGUAAUAAGUGCCCGUACCGUAAACCGACACAGGUGGAUGAGGAGAGAAUCCUAAGGCCGGCGGGAGAAGCAUUGUUAAGGAACUCGGCAAAAUGACCCCGUAACUUCGGGAGAAGGGGUGCCAUCCUCCGGGAUGGCCACAGAAAAUAGGCUCAAGCAACUGUUUAGCAAAAACACAGGUCUAUGCGAAACCGAAAGGUGAGGUAUAUGGGCUGACGCCUGCCCGGUGCUGGAAGGUUAAGAGGAGAAGUCAGGCAACGAAGCUUUGAAUUGAAGCCCCAGUAAACGGCGGCCGUAACUAUAACGGUCCUAAGGUAGCGAAAUUCCUUGUCGGGUAAGUUCCGACCCGCACGAAAGGCGUAAUGAUUUGAGCGCUGUCUCAACAAUGCACCCGGUGAAAUUGAAGUACCAGUGAAGAUGCUGGUUACCUGCGCCAGGACGGAAAGACCCCAUGGAGCUUUACUCUAGUUUGAUACUGGGAUUCGAUUAUACCUGUACAGGAUAGGUGGGAGGCGAAGAAGCAAGGACGCCAGUCUUUGCAGAGCCGCUGUUGGGAUACCACCCUUGUAUGAUUGGAUUUCUAACCUGCACCCGUGAUCCGGGUGGGGGACACUGUCAGAUGGGGAGUUUGACUGGGGCGGUCGCCUCCGAAAGGGUAUCGGAGGCGCUCAAAGGUUCCCUCAGAAUGGUCGGAAACCAUUCAAAGAGUGCAAAGGCAGAAGGGAG
rnacentral:rRNA from 1 species